rnacentral:rRNA from 1 species
AGGGUAUUCGUGCGUGGAUGGCAGCUCAGGAUUAGCCUCAUGAAAAUCUUAUAUUCCCCGAGGAGGUUCUACCACGUGGAAACGUUCUUUAAUGGAACUUUCGUUUUAGCUGGUCGUGACCAAGAAACCACCGGCUUUACUUGGUGGGCUGGGAAUGCCAGACUUAUCAAUUUGCCCGGUAAACUACUUGGAGCUCAUGUAGCCCAUGCCGGAUUAAUGGUAUUCUGGGCCGGAGCAAUGAACCUAUUUGAAGUGGCCCAUUUCGUACCAUCACAGAAAAUCAUCCUUUCCGGGCUUCUGGCCCAUCAUCAUGGGCCAUCAAGAUGA